UCCCUGGUGGCUCAGAUGGUAAAGAAUCUGCCUGCAAUGCAGGAGAUCUGGGUUGGAUCCCCGGGUUGGGAA
rnacentral:tRNA from 1 species